AUCUGAGAAUUUUUGUUGUGCAGCAGUGUCUAAGGUUUCUCUGACUAAAUUCGAGCAAGAAGAAGAAGAUUACCCGAAAAUCAGAAAAUGGGUACGAAUCAGAACCCAAAGGAAACGCAGAAAAAUAGCUUUGGUCCCUCCUCUGCCAAGGCUUACCUCGAUCCUCACUAUUGGGAUGAGCGUUUUUCUAAUGAGGAACAUUACGAGUGGUUCAAAGAUUACUCUCAUUUUCGCCACCUUAUUCAAGCCCAUAUAAAACCCAAUUCUUCUGUAUUGGAGCUGGGUUGUGGGAACUCACAGUUGUCUGAAGAGUUAUACAAAGAUGGGAUCACUGAGAUAACAUGCAUUGAUCUGUCAGCCGUUGCGGUGGAGAAGAUGCAGAAGCGAUUAGCAUUGAAGGGAUAUAAUGAAAUAAAGGUUCUGGAGGCUGACAUGCUAAACCUGCCCUUUAGCAACGAGUGUUUUGAUGUCGUCAUUGAGAAAGGAACCAUGGAUGUAUUGUUCGUGGACAGUGGAGACCCAUGGAAUCCGCGGCCUGAAACAGUAAAUAAAGUCAUGGCAAUGCUUGAAGACGCUCAUAGGGUUUUGAAACCAGAUGGGAUUUUUAUCUCAAUUUCUUUUGGCCAGCCACAUUUCAGGCGUCCUUUAUUCGAUUCUCCAAAAUUUACCUGGUCUGUUGAGUGGAAUACUUUUGGUGAUGCAUUUCACUAUUUUUUCUAUGUCUUGAAGAAGUCAUUCUUCCUGUUGCCCUCUCUCUCCUCAAACUCCCUCAUUUUCUCUCUUCUGCCUCACUCCACCUUUGUUGAUUUGCUGCCCAGCCGCCACAAACCCACCUUGCCGACUCGUUGCCCAACCACUAGCCCAGCUCCAAUCCACCCCUAGCGCCGACCCAUCUCACCAAUCUCCCCAGCUCUGACCCAUCUUGCCGAUCUGUUACCGAAUCUACAGGUUACAUCCAUGGGUUGCUCUUUGUUUUACAAGUUGCUUCUUGAUGACUCAGAUGAGGAUGAGAUAAUCAAAGAAGUUGCUUCUUGGAGAAACAACUGCAUUACAAAGUUUGAAAAAAAUUUGUUAUUGCGGUGGUUGAUGUUUUCUUUGAGAAAUACUUGAGAAAGCCAAACAACAAAAACAUUGAUAGAUUGUUAGCUCAUAGCGAACGUUGGGAUUUUCCAUAUAUGUUAGGUUCAAUUGAUUGCACAUUGGAAAUUGAAAAAUUGUCUAA